rnacentral:rRNA from 1 species
AUACGGAGGACGCGAGCGUUAUCCGGAUUCAUUGGGUUUAAAGGGUGCGCAGGCGGCCUGUCAAGUCAGCGGUGAAAGCCCGGGGCCCAACCCCGGAAGUGCCGUUGAUACUGUCGGGCUGGAAUGCGGUCGAGGCGGGCGGAAUGUGGGGGGUGGCGGGGGAAUGCGUAGAUAUGCCACAGAACGCCGAUAGCGGAGGCAGCUCGCCAGGCCUGCAUUGACGCUCGGGCACGAAAGCGUGGGGAUCGAACAGGAUUAGAUACCCUGGUAGUCCACGCCGUAAACGAUGGACGCUCGUCGUCGGCGACAGACAGUCGGCGGCCAAGCGAAAGCGAUAAGCGUCCCACCUGGGGAGUACGGUCGCAAGGCUGAAACUCAAAUGAAUUGACGGGG